rnacentral:rRNA from 1 species
GACGAACGCUGGCGGCGUGCUUAACACAUGCAAGUCGAGCGGUAAGGCCCUUUCGGGGGUACACGAGCGGCGAACGGGUGAGUAACACGUGGGUGACCUGCCCUCAGCUCUGGGAUAAGCCUGGGAAACUGGGUCUAAUACUGGAUAUGACUCCACGGUGCAUGUCGUGGGGUGGAAAGCCUUGUGCGGCUGAGGAUGGGCCCGCGGCCUAUCAGCUUGUUGGUGGGGUGAGGCCUACCAAGGCGACGACGGGUAGCCGGCCUGAGAGGGCGACCGGCCACACUGGGACUGAGACACGGCCCAGACUCCUACGGGAGGCAGCAGUGGGGAAUCUUGCGCAAUGGGCGAAAGCCUGACGCAGCGACGCCGCGUGAGGGAUGACGGCCUGGUGUAA